CGGGAAGCUGGGGAGAGCUGAUGAGGCGGGUGGUGAUUGGUCAGCCGGUUGCCGGGCGGGAGGUGGCUGCGGCCGGGCGGGAAGGCUAGAGCGCUGCCUAUUCCACUGAGAGCCACUUCCACCACUUAAUAGUCUCUGCAUUCACCAUCCUUCAAGUUCGUGUGACCUGAUGCUUCCUGGACUCCAGACAAGAAGCCAGGAAUGUGAUCCAGCUAAGGAAGCAGAUGAGAGAGACCAAGGAACAUGCUGGUGGAGCAGGUGUUGAAUUCCUUCCCUGCAUUUCUGCUCUUCCGCUCUUUAAUUGGCAUCUGGCCGGAUGUUCCUGAUUGCCGAGGCAACGCCUAAGGCUUAGCCGGCUUAACUGCAGGUCUGCACAAUAAUAAACUCUUCAGAAUUUCAGCACUAAUUUCUUCAUUAAGGGCCCCAGAAUUAUGGUUGCAUAUCACCUACUCAUUUCCUCUUGGUUCUACCUCACAUGCUUUCAUACUGUUGCUGACCAUCUGUACAUGUUACUCACCCCUUUCCUCCUUCCCUCUAUUCAAAUAAGCCAGGCUGGGUUAGCACUCCGGAUGCAUCCCUGUUGAUGGCUGGACAAAUAGUAUACAGUUUCCAGAAAGGGUGACAACUUUCCUUCCUGGAAUCCCUGCACAAAAUGCAGGGUCACAUAUGGCCCUGAGGAGGGAUUUGGUGGCAAAGAGAUAUCUGAGUUUCAUAGUUUGAAAGUACUACGCUGGCUGUGGUUCCAAGCUGUCUACCAGGUCACCCUGUGGUGGCAUAGUAAAUUCACAGGACUGUGGUUUAAAUUUUCCGAGGGAAAGAAGGGAUCUUCCGGAUCUGGUGAAUACUGCACAAACCCAGGGUUGUUCAUGGUUUCAGCAUUAGAUCACAUCAUACUCCUUUCAGUGAUGGCAUUAUUUGGGGGAAACCAUGUUUUUGGCAGUUACUGUGACAAAACGCAAGUGCCACAAGGAAAUCAGUGUGGAACAGGAAAUGAAAGUGUCAGUGCGCACUCUGAUUCUGAAGUUUAAGGAGUUGUACACCCCCCAAAAGCCACACGUCCCAUUAGUAAGUAAUUGCAUUGA